rnacentral:lncRNA from 1 species
GGCCAAGAUUUACUGGUGGAGGCAGUACUCUGCACAUACCCCUCGGGGUUCAUCCAUAGUGCUUACAGUCACGUGUCUUACUUCUGAGGGUCCAAGCUAUAUUGAAAGAGCCCCUAUAAUCUGAUUCCUUACGCGAAUAUCGAGGACUCCCACCUAUACCCUCGUGAGGGAAUUUUUGCCUGUGGUUUUAGAGGAGCUUGUUCGGUUGCACACAGUUUGGUAGCAGAGAGCAGAGCUCAGGUCAAACAGAGCGGGGUCAUUUUCUGAAGUUUUUGGUUCCAGCUUCAUGAGAAGGGUUCUUCUGAUGAGAUUUUUGGUUUUGGGAUGCUGCUGAACAGAGCAGAGCAAAGCUCCUUGGAUCAAAAUCUAGCCCAAACCUCAUAGCCACUGACUGGGAGGUAAACAGAGCUGGUAAAAUCUUUUGCAAACGUUGACUUUAAGGCACUACAAAAAUACAACAAGCUAUUAAAACAAAACUGUAGCCUUACCUUUUUCUGGUUCAUGCCAAUUCCAGUGUGAAUACCAGCAUUGCAUUGUCCGGAGUGUAACUGCCCUUUCUUCUGCUUUCUUUCUGCAGGUGGAUGCUAGAAUUUUAUUGCAGGUCUGCUUUUAGGUGCAAGGCGUAGUGUUUGUGUGCAACAGCAAGCUGAAAAAUCUGCAGAAAACCACAGUGGGUUUUUUGUUGGUUGGUUCAUUUUUCUUUUCUGCAUCUCAGGAAUAACUUCAACAGUGAUGUUUCCGUGCUGUCUGUGAGAAUGCACCCAAAAUGGCUGGUCCUGUGUCCAGGGGAUCUUGAAAAGCCCCUGUCCAGGGGCUCUCGAAAAGAGCUGCCAGCCCCGCUUGCUUGUCCUCUCCUCACCAGUGAGGAGGCUGCCUCCAGUCCCAGCUCUGUCCUAGGUUUUGUUGGGAGACAACAAGAACGCAGCUUCUGCUAAAGGAGGUGGACACAACGGGAUGCUGCUGGCUCUAGGCUGCUGCAAAAGUAAGUGGCAAUGAAAAAAAGUGAAUGCACAAGCACAAAAUGCUUCUUGUUUAGUUUGCUACUUUUCCUAAUGAACAACCAUUUUAUUUUGACAGAAGGUUGGCUUUGAUGUUAUCAUCUUUUGGAAGAAAUACCCAUCUUACUGUAGGAAGCAGGGCAAAGCUGCUUUGGGUGAGACCUUUGGGGACAGCGAUGAGGCCAAUGGGAUCCUUUAGAUUUGCAGGGGGUUUACAGGACUCCAGUUAGCAAAGGAGCCAAGUAUGGGCUGGUGUCCCCAUAUUCCAGCAAGGAGCUAGGGAAGGCAGGACAGCAAAUCACAAAAAUAUUUAUAAUUUAUCAGCAGUAAAAAGCUCGUGCUAGGCAGAAGCAGUUGUUAAAAAAUAAUAAUAAUAAAAAAAAUCCAGUCCAAGC